GUAUUUUGGAACUAUAGUUCCAAAUGAAAAGAAAAAUGUAGGUGACAUUUUUGACAGCUAACUUCAGAGAGAUCUUAAAGUUUGUACUGUGCUCGGCGGAAUUUUUUAUUUGGUGCGUUUUUUUUUUCAAACUGUACAUGCGCGGGCCACUUAAAAUUAUUUUGGGGGCCACACUGUGGCCCGCGGGCCUGGAGUUGAGCAGCCUUGCUAUAAGCAGUCUCCAGCGUGUUUUGCCCUACACAAUCAAGAAAAACAUAUUUGUCAACAUUUUUCGUAGGCAAUAUUGUUGAAUGUUGACGUUUUUGUUUGGAGAAGACCCGGCUUUAAAUAGAGCCUUAAAGAGCGGCUUCAAAUAUUUAUAUAAUCUUUGGCCUUAAUUACGACAUUACGAUCUGUCAUGUCUGACCUGUCAAUAUUUUGACUUUUUUUUCUGACGUAAAAUGUAUUUACGCGAGUGAUUUUGUUUGUAAAAGUCGAAAUUUUAAGGUUUUUGUGAACUUUCGCUAAUUAAUUGCAACCAUCAUGGGAAGUCUAGACAGAGGAGUACUCACUGGAUUUAUAUGCAGGCUUUGUUCGGAAAUGCAUCGAGUCGUACUUCAUAUCUACGGAGAAGAGGGUAUACGUUUAUGUAUCUCCGAGAAGAUCAAUAGAUAUCUCUCAAUAAAUGUGUCCCGUUCGGAUCCAUUGCCCAAAACAAUCUGCAAAAAUUGCCUGGAAAGAUUGGAAAAUCAGCACAGAUUGGUAAUGCGCAUUGAACAAGCAGCAAAUCUCUUGAAAGGACAACGGCGGGCACGAUUCAAUAAUAAUUAUCAAUUAACCAGUUAAUUAUGUAAACCAUUAUGUAUUAGUUAUAGUUCUCUUUAAUUAAGCCUUUAAUUUAGAUUGAAAUGUUUGUAAAACCAGACAGACAGGUAUGAUUAUGAUAUAUUUUUUAAUGAGAUGUUAAUUACCUGAACAUCAUUCAAUGAACAACCAUUGGUUGAAUGAUUACUUUACUAUGACUAUGACUUGGUUUACAAUUAUUUUCAAUGAAUCUUGCAUUAAAUUGCUAUUAUUUUAUA